GGUUGAUUCAAAGUACUUCGCGUUCUUCCUGGGGGAUGACUCUGAGAAUUCAGGAUGUGCUUUAUGCAGACUUCUGUGGAAUUGAUGUUGGCCUGCUCACAGUUUCACGUGAAGAUACGCCUGCCCGAACUCCAUGUUCUCAAUGUUAAUGCAUCAAGGGCAAUCAUUCUGGAGGGAAGAAUUGUUGUGGAUGAUGCCCCAAACUUGCCACAUGCCGUAUGUCUCCUCUUUGCUUUAAUCUAUGAUCUAAAUUUAGACUACACAAAGACAAUAAGGGAAACAUUUUGCCCUGAGGGUAUUUCUGUUGUUGGGAGGUAAGAAACUCAAACCUAAACUUCAAACCCUUAAAAUCAGCUUUUAAGAUAAACUUUGUCUUGAAUGCCUUUGUGCCUGUUAAUAUUUUGGCAUAUUUUGUCAUUUCACUAAUUUCAAGU